GCAAGGGGUACUGAGGACCUUUUCUAACCCGGGUCUCCACAGGAUGACAGACGGGUUAAAGCUAUACUAUAACACCUCUAACAAAGAGAGAGAGAGAAAGCAUAAGAUGACGCCAAACGAUGCAUUGUUUUAGCUCUGCGUCGCCUGCCGAGUCCAUAGUUCGCCUCUGAAAGGUUCGCCUGUUUGUAGAGGGCAUCAUAGGUGUUGUCACUGGUAAAUGCUGACCUAUGCGGUCGUAAGGAUAAGUCCAUCGAAGGUUGCGAUUGCCUUCCUUCCAGCUUAUAGCAGGCAUCAUAAAGGCAGGUGCUAUCGUCGAUAAACGUUGAUCUACUCGGCCUUUCAGACAGUCCAUAUUAGGGCGGGACGAUAUCGCCUGUAUAUCAGGAUGCAUACAAGCUGAAAAACUGGGCGAAUGAGCUGAUAAACUGGAUGAAGGAGCAGGCAGACUAGAUGAAGGAGCUGACAGACUGGACGAAUGCUCUUGUAUUGCCCAUCCGGAUCCGUACCUGACAGAAUGAUCAUCAUAAUAAAUAGUUUUAAAGAUUACUUGCCAUGUAAUAAAAAAUGUUUCACCAAAACAUGAA